GAUGAACGCUGGCGGCGUGCCUAAUACAUGCAAGUCGAGCGAACAGACGAGGAGCUUGCUCCUCUGACGUUAGCGGCGGACGGGUGAGUAACACGUGGAUAACCUACCUAUAAAACUGGGAUAACUUCGGGAAACCGGAGCUAAUACCGGAUAAUAUAUUGAACCGCAUGGUUCAAUAGUGAAAGACGGUUUUGCUGUCACUUAUAGAUGGAUCCGCGCCGCAUUAGCUAGUUGGUAAGGUAACGGCUUACCAAGGCAACGAUGCGUAGCCGACCUGAGAGGGUGAUCGGCCACACUGGAACUGAGACACGGUCAAGACUCCUACGGGAGGCAGCAGUAGGGAAUCUUCCGCAAUGGGCGAAAGCCUGACGGAGCAACGCCGCGUGAGUGAUGAAGGUCUUCGGAUCGUAAAACUCUGUUAUUAGGGAAGAACAAAUGUGUAAGUAACUAUGCACGUCUUGACGGUACCUAAUCAGAAAGCCACGGCUAACUACGUG
rnacentral:rRNA from 1 species